UACGUAGGGUGCGAGCGUUAAUCGGAAUUACUGGGCGUAAAGCGUGCGUAGGCGGUCUGUCGCGUCGGCUGUGAAAACCCGGGGCUCAACCCCGGGCCUGCAGUCGAUACGGGCAGACUAGAGUGCGGUAGGGGAGACUGGAAUUCCUGGUGUAGCGGUGAAAUGCGCAGAUAUCAGGAGGAACACCGGUGGCGAAGGCGGGUCUCUGGGCCGUAACUGACGCUGAGGAGCGAAAGCGUGGGAAGCGAACAGG
rnacentral:rRNA from 1 species